GGCAUCCUGAAUUAGUCAUAUAACAUAUUUUUCAACAAAUCUAUGCAUCUAAUAGAUGCUAUUGCUCAUUCCAAUAGCAUAGCAUUUCUAUAUCAGCAAAACAUCAUAUGAAGUUUGCUUCUUUUCUCUCUAUUACCCUGCUUAUGAGAAAAUUGCUAUAAAGUCACCUUUUUCCUGGCACAAAACUAAAUUGAUUUUCUAAG
rnacentral:misc_RNA from 1 species